rnacentral:rRNA from 1 species
CGGCACGGGUGAGUAACACGUAUCCAACCUGCCGUCUACUCUUGGCCAGCCUUCUGAAAGGAAGAUUAAUCCAGGAUGGGAUCAUGAGUUCACAUGUCCGCAUGAUUAAAGGUAUUUUCCGGUAGACGAUGGGGAUGCGUUCCAUUAGAUAGUAGGCGGGGUAGCGGCCCACCUAGUCAACGAUGGAUAGGGGUUCUGAGAGGAAGGUCCCCCACAUUGGAACUGAGACACGGUCCAA